CCCUUAGAUGUUCUGGGCCGCACGCGCGCUACACUGACGAAUUCAACGAGCUUAUAACCUUGGCCGAAAGGUCUAGGUAAUCUCCAAAAUUCGUCGUGAUGGGGAUAGAUUAUUGCAAUUAUUAAUCUUCAACGAGGAAUGCCUAGUAAGCGCAAGUCAUCAGCUUGCGUUGAUUACGUCCCUGCCCUUUGUACACACCGCCCGUCGCUCCUACCGAUCGAAGAGUUAGGUGAAUUGUUUUGAUCGAUAAGAUUUGACUAUGGUCAACUCUCGUUGUGAAAUUCUGUGAAUCUGACUGUUUAGAGGAAGGAAAAGUCGUAACA
rnacentral:rRNA from 1 species